GGACGGAUGACUAUGCCCGUGCCCAUGGGUACUAAAGUAGCCACCUGCUUUCGGUUUGAUAUGACGAUUGUACAUUUCCAUAUGUACGAUCUUCAUGAAUUCGAUCUGUGCUGCUAAUUUCUGAAUUUCUUCCUGCAAUAUACAUAUAUGAUAAUUGGAUGGAUAUUUAUGUAAAUUAAAAUUUUGAUAAACAUAAUUUAAAAUGAGACGAUGAUACCUUCAAUUCUUCGUUUUCUUGAUGCAAAUCUGUCGCUUCCUCGGAUACUAAACCGAUUCCAUUUAAAGAGAAACUUGCUGUGACACCUCGGGCUCUAGCACGACUAUCCCAUUGAUCUCCUUGACCACGUAAAACUCGAAUCACCUGAAAUGUAAUUAAUGAUCCUUUAAAAAGAAUAUAUUCUUCAAAGUGUUUCACGAAUAUCUUGUAUGGGAAAGAAAGUGAAAUAAUUAAUGAAUUACCUUCGGCGCAAAUACAAGAAACACAGUGACAGAAGUAGACAAUUGUUACCGAUAGCUAAACUAUGGUCCCACCAAUUGAAGGAGCAUUGAUUGAACUUUAGACCAUAAUUAUCGGCUAUCUCUUCAGCAUAUGGUGGUGCGCUGAGCGUCCACGUGCCCAGAUAAAUUAACAUUACUAAUAAUAUCGGGACCAUCCAUUGCAGCAAUUGUUUGUCUGUGAGCUUUACUUUGUGCGCGCUUUUUACACGGUUUUCAUCAACAAUGCGGUAUAAGAAAUACAAAAACCAAGAUGUCUUGUCCAUUUGGUCGCGAUACAAGAAUACAUGUCCAAAACCGGAAAUAUCGCGGCCAUCUAAAUACAUGAUGGCGCAACCCAAAAGCGUGAUAGACAAAAAUAUCGGCGAAGCAACCUUGAACACUUUGAGUUUACGGUGUUGAUACAUGUAGACGACUAAGAUGAUAGUACCAAACACACAGAAAAUAGAGAACGAUAAAAGAGCGAUUCUGCAAAAAUACUUCAGAUUACUUCUCUUCGGUUUAAAAAAUAAAGAACUUUGGGACGAAUUCGUACCGGAAGGGCCAGUUGUAGGUGGCUAGACAAGGUUCCGGUCCCUUACAUUUAAUGCAUCCCGGGGCACAACCUAAAGUUAUACUAAUAAUGCAUUCACUCGAGGCAAAGAGUUGAACUAUCCUUACUAACUUUCGACGAGGAUUCCAUUGAAAGCGGAUUGAUGUUGGUUCUUGUCGUAAUAACCUUUUCGACAUUUACAUAUAUAUGCACCCUUUGCCCAACCAGCACCUACGCCAUUUUGAUUUAUACGAUUGCUCGGACUUUGAUAUUCACACUAAAAGUCAUAUACAUGGAAACAUCAGUGUUUAAAAGAAUUACCUGAGUGGUAUCUGUAUGACAUUUGUGCGUGCCUUUAAAAGAUGCUAUUUGAUUACUUAGAAUUUCAUUCUCAUUGCUAUGCGGCGAUGGAUCACAUUGAUUUACUUCUAGCCCGCUAAUAUCGAUAUCUACGCUUAAAAAUUCACGAACCCUUGAACAAAAUAUAAUUUCAUCAACAUUUGUUGAAAUAGUUUGAUCGCUUUAUUCAAGAACAAACAAAAUUAAAAAUCGAUCCAAAGAAUUGUAGAUUCGAAACAGAUUCAAUUAAUCACUUAUCAAAUGAAAGUUUUGACACAUUCGAUGCAGUAUUGUCAUCAAGUAUGCUCAGCCAUCUCGUUUCAUUUUACAAUUGUUUUCCACAUUAACCAUGAGAAAUACGGGAUGGUCCACCAACCCCUGUAGGAUUCAAUCGCCGGUGACUGCAUGAAUUUCGGUGACCUGGGAUAACACGCAAACGCCACAAACCGCCAUAGAAACUUCGAUUUUUUCACGCAUACAUGUUUCGUGCAACGACCCCAUUAUUAUCGUACUUGCUUUUUUCUUUUCGUCUCUUUCUUUUUAAAUCCUGGCACUUCACGGUCAUCCGGUAUAUACGAACAUUAAAUUUGAAUUAAAUAGAUAUUGUCUGAAUAUGUAUUUAGAAGUUUUUAAUUAGAAUUCACUGUGUAAUAUAUUAAUUGAUAUUACACUUUAACAUUUUUCUUUUAAUAUUUUUCUUUUUG